rnacentral:rRNA from 1 species
UACAUGGGGUGCAAACGUUGCUCGGAAUUAUUGGGCGUAAAGCGCGCGUAGGCGGUUACUCAAGUCGGAUGUGAAAGCCCUCGGCUUAACUGAGGAAGUGCACCCGAAACUGAGUAGCUAGAGUACUAAAGAGGGUCGCGGAAUUCCCGGUGUAGAGGUGAAAUUCGUAGAUAUCGGGAGGAACACCAGUGGCGAAGGCGGCUUUCUGGCCUGUUCUUGACGCUGAGGCGCGAAAGCCAGGGGAGCAAACGGG